rnacentral:rRNA from 1 species
CCUACGGGUGGCAGCAGUGAGGAAUAUUGGUCAAUGGACGAGAGUCUGAACCAGCCAAGUAGCGUGAAGGAUGACUGCCCCAUGGGUUGUAAACUUCUUUUAUCUGGGAAUAAAAUGUUCCACGUGUGGGAUUUUGUAUGUACCAUAUGAAUAAGGAUCGGCUAACUCCGUGCCAGCAGCCGCGGUAAUACGGAGGAUCCGAGCGUUAUCCGGAUUUAUUGGGUUUAAAGGGGGCGUAGGUGGAUUGUGAAGUCAGUGGUGAAAGUUUGCGGCUCAACCGUAAAAUUGCAGUUGAAACUGGCAGUCUUGAGUACGGUAGAGGUAGGCGGAAUGCGAGGUGUAGCGGUGAAAUGCUUAGAUAUCGCGCAGAACUCCGAUUGCGAAGGCAGUGCACUGGACUGCGACUGACACUGAGGCUCGAAAGUGUGGGUAUCAAACAGGAUUAGAUACCCUUGUAGUC